rnacentral:misc_RNA from 1 species
UUUCCGUAGGUGAACCUGCGGAAGGAUCAUUAAAAAAUUGGACUCCAUUGGUGAGUUCAUUAAUAAUCCCUACCCUUUGUGAAUUUGUUUGUUUGAAUAAUUUUUUUUCCAAAAAAAAUUAUUGAAUGUCUUUCCUUGUUUUGGUGGAGCUUGUAAAGUGAAACCAGGCAGGGGAAUGGCAAACAAUAAUUAUUUUUGAAAAAGACCUUUUUUUAAAAUUAAACUUUUUGUAUUCAUCUGUCUAAAAUUAAUUUUUAUAAUAUAAAAACAACUUUUGACAAUGGAUCUCUUGGUUCUCGCAACGAUGAAGAACGCAGCAAAAUGCGAUAAGUAGUGUGAAUUGCAGAAUACGUGAAUCAUCGAAUCUUCGAACGCAUAUUGCACUUUUUUAGUUUACUAAAAAAGUAUGUCUGUUUGAGUAUCAGUAAAGUAUUCUCAUAAAAAACAUUGUUUUUUUAUGGUUAUGAGUGUUUUACAACGAUAACAAGUUGUUUCACUUUAAAUUCUUUGUUAUCAAAAAAAUCAUUAAAAGCUAAUUUUAAAGAUUUUUUAAAAUUGGAUAAAAUUUUCCCGUAAAAAGGAAUAACCUAAACAAUUUUAAAAAAUUAAAAUUGGUUUGAUUUUUUUUGAAACCCAAAGGAAGAAAAAAACGAAAUUAACUUGAUCUCAAAUCAGAUAAGAGUACCCGCUGAACUUAAGCAUAUCAAUAAGCGGAGGAAAAGAAACUAACUAGGAUUCCCUCAGUAACGGCGAGUGAAGCGGGAAGAGCUCAAAUUUGAAAUCUUCAAGGUUUUACCUUGACGAAUUGUAGUUUAAAGAAGUGUCUUCUGUUGGAGUUUUGGUAAAAGUUCUUUGGAAAAGGACAUCAUAGAGGGUGAGAAUCCCGUAUUUGACCAUUAUCUCCAGCUUUGUGAUACACUUUCAAAGAGUCGGAUUGUUUGGGAAUGCAGUCCAAAAUGGGUGGUAAAUUUCAUCUAAAGCUAAAUACUGGCGAGAGACCGAUAGCGAACAAGUACCGUGAGGGAAAGAUGAAAAGAACUUUGAAAAGAGAGUUAAACAGUACGUGAAAUUGUCAAAAGGGAAGCGUUUGACACCAGUGUUGUUUUCUCGAAAAUCAAUUAAAAAAGGCCGGAUUUUGUGUUGUAUUGACUUUAUCAGCUUUCUGCACUCUUUUCUUGUCUUUUUUAAUGCACUUUUCGUUUAACAAGUCAACAUCAAUUUCUUUUGUUGUAAAAGGGUCAUUGGAAGGUGGCUUUCUUUUCGGAGAAAGUGUUUAUAGCCUUUGGCCUCUGCAAUCGGAGAGAUUGAGGUCUGCAGCGUAGAUCCUUCGGGGUUAGAUACAUUUGUGCUAAGUUAUAGCCUUUCAUAGACAACUUGUUGACUAUGAUCAGUCAUGUAGCUUACUCGCUUAUGCUAUUU